AAGAGAAUAAGGAAGACCAUACCAGCAGUCUGAUUGACAGCCAAGGAGGGCAAGGUUUAUCUAAUUUAGAAAAGUUCUGAUUUCUCUUUAAAUUGAGAUUUAAACAAAAAAAAAUAAUAAUACAAGGGAUAUAAAAUAAUUCAGCAAGCUUAAACAAAUCACUAAACAUAUAACACUUCAAAUGAACUAAUAUGUGACUGCUUGAAAUAGUUAUCAG